rnacentral:pre_miRNA from 1 species
GAUGUACUCCCUCCGUUCCAAAUUACUUGUCGCAGAAAUGGGUGUAUCUAGAACUAAAAUACAUCUAGAUACAUCCAUACCUACGACAAGUAAUUCAGAACGGAGGAAGUAAAAA